AUUGAACGCUGGCGGCAGGCCUAACACAUGCAAGUCGAGCGGUAGAGAGGUGCUUGCAUCUCUUGAGAGCGGCGGACGGGUGAGUAAUGCCUAGGAAUCUGCCUGGUGGUGGGGGAUAACGUUCGGAAACGGACGCUAAUACCGCAUACGUCCUACGGGAGAAAGCGGGGGAUCUUCGGACCUCGCGCCAUUAGAUGAGCCUAGGUCGGAUUAGCUAGUUGGUGAGGUAAUGGCUCACCAAGGCGACGAUCCGUAACUGGUCUGAGAGGAUGAUCAGUCACACUGGAACUGAGACACGGUCCAGACUCCUACGGGAGGCAGCAGUGGGGAAUAUUGGACAAUGGGCGAAAGCCUGAUCCAGCCAUGCCGCGUGUGUGAAGAAGGUCUUCGGAUUGUAAAGCACUUUAAGUUGGGAGGAAGGGUAGUAACCUAAUACGUUGCUACUUUGACGUUACCGACAGAAUAAGCACCGGCUAACUUCGUGCCAGCA
rnacentral:rRNA from 1 species